GACUUCUCCGAUGGCUUAGUGGUUACAGUAUCCGCUUUGGAUGCGGGAGGUCGUGGGUUUGAUCCUCGGCCGAGUCA